CGUAACGCACUAACGCUCCACCGCUGCCCCUGGCCGCCGCAACUCCUCCACCGCUCCCCCUGGCUGCCGCCGCUCUCAUCACCGCCGUUGCACCACGGAUCCGCCGCUGCCGCCGUUGCUCCACGGAUCCUCCACCGCCGCCGCUCCACGUAUCCCCCGCCACGAAGUCAUCGCCACCGCCAAUCUCGUCGACCCCGUCGGCCGUCGCCUCCGCCACGCUCGCCGACCCCGUCGCCUCCACCACACUCGUCUACGCGCUCUCCCUCUCCGACGCCGCUGCACAGGGCCGCCCACCAGCCUCUUCCACCACAGGGCCGCCCACCGCGUCGCCUACUGAGUCCUUCGACCCCGUCUCCGUAGCCGCCGCCACGCCGGCACCGUGCUGAUUCUCUCUUUCACCGCAGCCCAAGACGAAUCAUGCUGUGGGAGAACUAUGUUUGAUUGCCUGUGUGACUCCGUUUGGGAGAGGACGAAUCUGUCACAGAUCGUAUGGCAUGCUUGUGCCCGCUGUUUUUUUAUUCCGUAUGGUGUAUUCUCAGUAGGCUUGUGGCCUGUGUGAAAUGGCAUAGUUGUUUGGUACCUUGGUAGUGUUUUCUCGAAAACCAUGGAUUGAGAAAUGGGUUUUAAUGGGGUGAAUCCAUGGAUUGUCAAAAUGUUUGAUUUGGGUUGGCUUGAAAUCAUACAAUGGUUUGGUGUAGUUUGGAUUAUCAACGUGGAGGGUUGGAUAGGAUUGGGUGGACUUGACUUGUAUUGUGGAAGUGGAUUGGUGGGGGGUUCAGGUUGGAUCCUGGCCCAUUAGCAGGGCUACCUCCCCACAGCAGGUCACAGUACUUCAGCCGUGAUCCGGCCGUCGCCACCGUCCUCCUCUGCUGGAGGCGGCGGUGGAGUCUCUUGUACCUCCCCUCCAGUGGACCGGCCAUUUGGGCCUCACGAGUAAGCGGCAAGCCCUUAUUUCUCCCCUUUACCCCCAAAUUCUCAGGUUUUGGGCUAUAGUUUGCUGGGCACCUCGCUAUUGUACUUGAAAAAACUAGUUUUUAUAGUUGCUCUAAGUUUUGUGGUGAAGGUUAUCCGAUCAAAAGCUGCAUUUUUCUUCUUGUAAUACGUGGAUCUACGCACCUAUCAUUGUUUGAGCAUUUUCUUGAAAAAGUUUCAAUCCUUUUUCAUGGAUAUUAGAUUUAGAUUUAGCAGACUGCUUGCGCCGAUGCUAUUGUAUUCCUGAGGCAUGGUUCUGCUACAGAUGCCAUCCAGCUUUUGCAGCUGAAAAAAAAGGCUGCAGCUGCAGCGUUAUUAUGUCAUUAACGUUUGGACAUUAUUAAGAAGGCAAGGUCCUGUCAAUUCCUUGUGCUAGUGUUUCUGUUUCUAGAAAUAAUCGCCCUUCUCUAUUUUACUCGUGCAACUUGAGACAAGGCUAAGCUUAGUUGCAGUUCGCUUGUUACUUAAUAGAAUGUGGUGUUGACAUCUUAAUGCCAACUGGUACUGUUGUUACCAAGUGCAGGAAAGUUGGGGUUAUGACAGUCCAACUUUCAGAUCUUAUUGCUUGCUGGUGCGCCCCGCAGUCAUAAUUUGAUUCAACUCUGAAGUUCAGUUUAGCUGUUUUUUUGGUACAAGUUACAAGAGGCAUACACAUCAUCACUUGCAGCUUACAACCAUUUGCUUUGUGAAAUUUGCUUGUAGAGUUGGACGAUGAAGGCUGCACAUUCUUCACCCUAGUCAGAUCUCCCUCCAGAGAUCCUAGGCCUACUCCUCGAGCACCUUCCCUCCCUACCUGAUCGUGCUCGAUUGAGAGCAGUCUGCCACCCAUGGCGCUCUAAUGCUAAACUGCAUCCCCUGCCUCCUCCGCUCCCAUGUCUCUCUCCUCAAUGGGACCAUCUUGAGCAUCCCCUGCAGUCUACCAGGUGAUGCUUGUUGCUGUGGUUCCAUUGACAAUUGGCUCUUCCUCAUGCAAAAUGAUGGUGGGUGCUCAUUGAUGAACCCUUUCUCCAAGGCCACACUGGACCUUCCUAAGCUAGCCACUGUUUGGCGUCGUGAUAAGUUUAAUGGAAAUGAAAGAUUUAAUCCACUUUUCUAUAAGCUGGUGGUUCCCUUGCCCCUGGAUUCCUCACCAGAAUCCCUUGUUGCAGUCCUGAUCCUGGAUGAUGGUAAUUCCAGCACUAUUUGUAUUUGCCACCCUGCUCAGCCACCAGUUGCCACCAACUUUUCCAUAGGGAGGGGCAUGGAGCCAUCUCUGUACCUGGCUGAUGUCGCCUUCUUCAAUGGGAAGCUGUACGGAGUUGCUUUUGAUAACGAGCUUGUUGUCUUUGAGAUUGAUUAUGACCUUGGAAGAAAGCUGAAGAUCUCAGCCACUGGAUGCAUAAUCAACUCUGUGGAUGAUUUACGGGACCGGCCACAAUCCUUAUCCAGUGAGGAGGUGUAUACAGAGAUGGAAUAUCUCGUUCAAAUUUGUGGAAUAUCUAGUUCAAUGUUGUGGUAGACUCUUGCUGGUUAUACGAUUUAUUCACAAUGAUUGUUCCCGUUCCAGAAGUGAGCAUCAUCGUACUGUUGCAUUUGAGGUCUUUGAGGCAGACUUGAGCACCAAUCCUGGUCAGUGGAGACAGAUCAAUAAGUUGGGUGGCCAAGCACUCUUCGUUGGCAAGCAUUGCUCUAAGUCUUUCACUUCUGAAGAGUACAAUGGAGUUCAAGCAGAUUGCAUAUAUUUCAUGUGUGACUAUCUUCAACCAAUUUAUGCUGUGGAUCCUCUCUGUGACAGUGGCGUGUACAACAUGAGGAAUGGGAUGAUUACUCCACUGUUGUCACAGACGGCUGCAGUGCCGCAGCAUCACGAUGGCAACUGGCGUCCAACAUGGAUCUUUCCUUCUGAUCCUAUAUAACCGAACUAGCUUAGCUUGUUGUGUUUAGGGAUUAUGUAAUACUAUAUACUAUGUACUCCCAAAUAUUAUAUGAUGUCUACUUGUUAGCAUGUUUAGUGAUUUGUUGUUGAACCAUAGUAACUACUAUUUACUCUAAAAGACUCAUGUAUUAUGUGCGCAAGCUAUGUUUAUUCUAGUCUUUCCAUUUACGGUGUUGAUAUUAA